rnacentral:rRNA from 1 species
AUUGAACGCUGGCGGCAGGCCUAACACAUGCAAGUCGAGCGGCAGCGGGAAAGUAGCUUGCUACUUUUGCCGGCGAGCGGCGGACGGGUGAGUAAUGCCUGGGAAAUUGCCCAGUCGAGGGGGAUAACAGUUGGAAACGACUGCUAAUACCGCAUACGCCCUACGGGGGAAAGCAGGGGACCUUCGGGCCUUGCGCGAUUGGAUAUGCCCAGGUGGGAUUAGCUAGUUGGUGAGGUAAUGGCUCACCAAGGCGACGAUCCCUAGCUGGUCUGAGAGGGUGAUCAGCCACACUGGAACUGAGACACGGUCCAGACUCCUACGGGAGGCAGCAGUGGGGAAUAUUGCACAAUGGGGGAAACCCUGAUGCAGCCAUGCCGCGUGUGUGAAGAAGGCCUUCGGGUUGUAAAGCACUUUCAGCGAGGAGGAAAGGUUGAUGCCUAAUACGUAUCAACUGUGACGUUACUCGCAGAAGAAGCAUCGGCUAACUCCGUGCCAGCCGCCGCGGUAA